rnacentral:rRNA from 1 species
UGACAGCAGCCGCGGUAAUACGGAGGAUCCAGGCGUUAUCCGGAUUUAUUAGGUUUAAAGGGUACGUAGGCGGAAGAAUAAGUCAGUGGUGAAAUCCUGCAGCUCAACUGUAGAACUGCCAUUGAUACUGUUUUUCUUGAGUAUAGUUGAGGUGGGCGGAAUGUGUCAUGUAGCGGUGAAAUGCUUAGAUAUGACACAAAACACCGAUUGCGUAGGCAGCUCACUAAACUAUCACUGACGCUGAGGUACGAAAGCGUGGGGAGCGCACAGGAUUAGAUA